UGGGGAAUAUUGCACAAUGGGCGAAAGCCUGAUGCAGCGACGCCGCGUGAGGGAUGACGGCCUUCGGGUUGUAAACCUCUUUCAGCAGGGAAGAAGCGAAAGUGACGGUACCUGCAGAAGAAGCGCCGGCUAACUACGUGCCAGCAGCCGCGGUAAUACGUAGGGCGCAAGCGUUGUCCGGAAUUAUUGGGCGUAAAGAGCUCGUAGGCGGUUAGUCGCGUCUGCUGUGAAAAUCUCGAGGCUCAACCUCGGGCUUGCAGUGGGUACGGGCUGACUAGAUGCGGUAGGGGAUGACUGGAAUUCCUGGUGUAGCGGUGGAAUGCGCAGAUAUCAGGAGGAACACCGAUGGCGAAGGCAGGUCACUGGG
rnacentral:rRNA from 1 species